rnacentral:pre_miRNA from 2 species
UGGACCCACAGGUUAAAAAUGAAACCUUUGGACUAAAAUGGCAAAAUGGACCAAACCACAGGGACUAAAAUGGCAUUUAACUCUAUAUAUUUAUUUAAGAUAAAAAGAAGAGUUAAAUGUCAUUUUAGUCCCUGUGGUUUGGGCCAUUUUGCCAGUUUAGUCCAAAGGUUUCAGUUUUAACCUGUGGGUCCA